UAGCCGUAAACGAUACUCGCUAGGUGUCGGCCACGGUGCGACCGUUGUCGGUGCCGUAGGGAAGCCGUGAAGCGAGCCACCUGGGAAGUACGGCCGCAAGGCUGAAACUUAAAGGAAUUGGCGGGGGAGCACCACAACGGGUGGAGCUUGUGGUUUAAUUGGAUUCAACGCCGGAAAUCUUACCGGGACCGACAGCAACAUGAAGGCCAGGCUGAAGACUUUGCCGGAUUAGCUGAGAGGAGGUGCAUGGCGUAGUCGUGU
rnacentral:rRNA from 1 species